AAGCGAUCAUUCUCAAGCGCCGGACGAAGGGGUGGGCCCGGCCGCGGACGACUUGCGAAGCACGCAGUCGACGCCCCCGGAAAUCGCUCCGGGCCUGCGCAUCUGA
rnacentral:sRNA from 1 species